UUUAUAGGAUCGAGGUGGAAGCAUGGUGACAUGUGUAGCUGACGACGACUAAUCCAGCGAAGACAUAAUCAA
rnacentral:rRNA from 1 species